CUUCCGGUUGCGUUUCUUUCACCUCAUUCACAUUUUCUCUUCCUGUGAAGGUGCCCUCGCAACGAGUGUAAGAGUCGAAAGUACCCCGUGAAGAAAUUUCGUACAAAAUGACUGCAUUCUGGAGACAAGUUGGUCUGAACUACAUCAACUACUCAAGCAUCUGUGCGAGGGUAGUGAGGAAUGCCUUGAAGGAACCCCAAAAAACUGCGGUCUUUGGACGUGACCAGAGCCUCAUCAAGACGAGUAAAUGGGAAGCAGGCAAAGUGUCAAAAGUUGCGGCACCUGGCGAAACUGUAGCCCAAUAGGAACAUAGGACAGAGAGCGAGUUCAUCUGAAUGCAUGUGUGUGUUAAACUGCCCGUUUUACAACUGUGGACUAUCAUGUCUUUGUGAUUUGUCGAGAUGUUAAUGAGUUGUGUACCAACGAGAUGGAAAGAUGCACUGGAGUCUGAAAGUGGGACCUUAAAGUCUGCACUGAGGAUAACAUGCUGCGGUCAUACCAGUUCUAUUGGGUGGGAGGAGGGAAAUCUUUUGGGGUGUUGUGUACUUUGCAAGAUGUAGAAUGCAAAUUGGAAGCUUUGUGAUGUUUUUGGCAUUAUCUUGUUCUGUGACACAAUAAAUUUUUUUGUAACUUA